AAACCAGGGAAACUUGGACUAAUACCCCAUAGCAUUUAUUUAUAGCAUCAUGAAUAAAUUAAAGCUUCGGUGGUAUAGGAUUGGCUCGCGUGACAUUAGCUAGAUGGUGAGGUAACGGCUCACCAUGGCGAUGAUGUCUAGGGGUUCUGAGAGGAAGGCCCCCCACACUGGGACUGAGACACGGCCCAGACUCCUACGGGAGGCAGCAGUGAGGAAUAUUGGACAAUGGAUGGAAAUCUGAUCCAGCCAUGCCGCGUGCAGGAAGACGGCCCUAUGGGUUGUAAACUGCUUUUAUACGGGAGCAAUAAGGUCUACGUGUAGACUGAUGAGAGUACCGUAUGAAUAAGCAUCGGCUAACUCCGUGCCAGCAGCCGCGGUAAUACGGAGGAUGCGAGCGUUAUCCGGAUUUAUUGGGUUUAAAGGGUGCGUAGGCGGCCUUGUAAGUCAGCGGUGAAAUUUUGCGGCUUAACUGUAAAAGUGCCGUUGAUACUGUGAGGCUAGGAUUUGGUUGCUGUGGGUGGAAUGUGUGGUGUAGCGGUGAAAUGCUUAGAGAUCACACAGAAUAUCGAUUGCGAAGGCAGCUCACAAAGCCAAGAUUGACGCUGAGGCACGAAAGUGUGGGGAUCAAACAGGAUUAGAUACCCUGGUAGUCCACACUGUAAACGAUG
rnacentral:rRNA from 1 species